AGCGUAGACGGACUGGCAAGUCUGAUGUGAAAGGCGGGGGCUCAACCCCUGGACUGCAUUGGAAACUGUUAGUCUUGAGUGCCGGAGAGGUAAGCGGAAUUCCUAGUGUAGCGGUGAAAUGCGUAGAUAUUAGGAAGAACACCAGUGGCGAAGGCGCUUCUCUGGACUGUAACUGACGCUGAGGCUCGAAAGCGUGGGGAGCAAACA
rnacentral:rRNA from 1 species